UGCGUAGGCGGCUUUAUAAGUCAGAGGUGAAAGCUUACAGCUUAACUGUGAAACUGCCUUUGAAACUGUAAAGCUUGAAUCACGUUGAGGUCAGCGGAAUGUGGCAUGUAGCGGUGAAAUGCAUAGAUAUGCCAUAGAACACCAAUUGCGAAGGCAGCUGGCUAGGCGUGUAUUGACGCUGAGGCACGGAAGCGUGGGUAGCGAACAGGAUUAGAUACCCUGGUAGUCC
rnacentral:rRNA from 1 species